ensembl:lncRNA
GUAAGUGUGUAUAUUCUGCUUUAUACCUGUGUUUAUAUUCAUGUGUUCAGUUUUCGCUGCAUGAAAUCUCGCCUGUGAAUGGGCGCUAGCUUUUCCUCGCUAACGUUAAGAGUAAUAUUAGCGGCUCCCUUUCGUUUCUUUUCCGCAUUUAAUCUCUAAAACUAAACCGUUCUGGUUGUUCAGUCUGUUUGUAAUCGUCUGAAAAUGAUUUUGUGUAAGAGAUCGAGUUUGUACGAGUAGUUCUGUGGAGUUGAUGCGAACACAGCUGGCGGUAAAGAGCCGAAUCAGCACUUGUGGUUUCAGCCCUGAUCCUCCUGCUUUUAUUCCGGGUUUAUUCUCAUUACAUCCGGCUUCAAACUCUCCCUCUGACCCCCUCAGCUCUCUCUUAGUGAUCAUGAGAGUACUCGUCUCUUGAAAACGAAUAAAGUCAUCAAACAGACAGGGGUGUGUGUGUGUGUGUGUGUGUGUGUGUGUGUGUGUGUGUGUGAGAGAGAGAGAGAGAGAGAGAGAACACACACACACACACACAGAGGAGUGUGUAUUGCGCAUUAACAAACUGCUGAAGAAAGUAAAAAAAUUCCCUCUUUAGAUGUCCAUGAGCUGUGAAAUAUUUCUGUGGGACUCUUUUAUUUGAAGCAGAAAUAGGGUGGAGCUGACAAGCAGGUUUUACUUCUCCAUUUAAUAGCUCAAAUCCUCACUGACAGAGAGAGAGAGAGAGAGAGAGAGAGGAAGGAAGGCAGGCAGAGAGAGAGAUAUACAGUGAUAGAUAGAGAGCAAGAGAAAGAUAUACAGAGACUGAUAUAGAGAGAUCUACAGAGAGAGGGACAUUUAGAGAGAGAUAUACAGAGAGAGAGACAGAUAUAGAGAGAUACAGAGAGACAGGAGAGAGAUUAUACAGAGACAGAUAGAGAGAGAGAGAGAGACGGGAGAUAUACAGAGAUAGAGAGAGAGAGACGGGGAGAUAUACAGAGACAGAUAGAGAGAGAGAGACGGGGGAGAUAUACAGAGAUAGAGAGAGAGAAACGGGGAGAUAUACAGAGACAGAUAGAGAGAGAGAGACGGGGAUAUAUACAGAGACAGAUAGAGAGAGAGAGACGGGGAGAUAUACAGAGACAGAGAGAGAGAGAUAUACAGAGACAGAUAGAAUGAAGAGAGACGGGGAGAUAUACAGAGAUAGAGAGAGAGAGGGGGAGAUAUACAGAGACAGAUAGAGAGAGAGAGACGGUGAACGGGGAGAGAGACAGAUAGAGAGAGAGAGACGGGGAGAUAUACAGAGACAGAUAGAGAGAGAGAGACGGGGGAUAUAGACGGGGAGAUAU